rnacentral:rRNA from 1 species
UUAAUACCCCAUAGUACUACGAAGAGGCAUCUUUUGUGGUUAAAGUAUUUACGGUAAAGGAUGGCUAUGCGUCCUAUUAGUUGGUAGGUGAGGUAACGGCUCACCUAGACUUCGAUAGGUAGGGGCCCUGAGAGGGGGAUCCCCCCACACUGGUACUGAGACACGGACCAG